UGAUCCUGGCUCAGAACGAACGCUGGCGGCACGUUUUAAGCAUGCAAGUCGUACGGUAAGAGGUGCUUGCACCUCUGAGAGUGGCGAACGGGUGAGUAACACGUAGAUGAUCUACCUUUUAGUUGGGGAUAGCCCAUGGAAACAUGGAGUAAUACCGAAUAAUCUCUUUUUACUUUAGUGAAUAGAGGAAAGAAGCGUUUGCUUCGCUGAAAGAUGAGUCUGCGCACUAUUAGCUAGUUGGUGGGGUAAGAGCCUACCAAGGCAACGAUAGUUAGCCGACCUGAGAGGGUGAUCGGCCACAUUGGAACUGAGACACGGUCCAGACUCCUACGGGAGGCAGCAGCUAAGAAUCUUCCGCAAUGGGCGCAAGCCUGACGGAGCGAUGCCGCGUGGAUGAAGAAUGCAGAGAUGUUGUAAAAUCCUUUUAUGAGCGAGGAAUAAUAGAUACAGGAAAUGGUAUUUAGAUGACGUUAACUCAUGAAUAAGCUCCGGCCAAUUACGUGCCAGCAGCCGCGGUAACACGUAAGGAGCGAGCGUUGUUCGGAAUUAUUGGGCGUAAAGGGCGUGUAGGCGGUUAAUUAAGUCUUGUUUGAAAGACCGAUGCUCAACAUCGGGACCGGACAGGAAACUGAUUAACUAGAAUCCGGUAGGGAAAUGUGGAAUUUCUAGUGUAGGGGUGAAAUCUGUUGAUAUUAGAAAGAACACCAAUGGCGAAGGCAACAUUUUGGGCCUGGAUUGACGCUGAGGCGCGAAAGCAUAGGGAGCAAACAGGAUUAGAUACCCUGGUAGU
rnacentral:rRNA from 1 species